UUUAUUUUUAUUGUCAGAUCGGUCUGUAAUGUACGUGUUUUUAUAUGGCAAGCAUAUGUUUUUGUGCUGAACUUCAACCACAUCUUGAUUUUUAAAAUUUUGGAUGCGUUCUCAUUCUAUUUUCCAGGAUGGCACUACUCAUGAUAAUGCUGCUGAGCGUUCUCAGUCAUUGGAUGGCAGGUGCUGACCCUCUUUCUAUGUGAUGUAUUUGUUGGGACUUAGGUUAGAAAGACUAUGAGCCUUCUGCCUGUAUGCAUGAAUAUAUACCUCAUGUGUGCCCAGUCCUCAGAGUAGCCAGAAGAUGGCCUGAGACCUCCUGAAAGUGGAAGAAUGAAGAUAGGUGUGACUCCCCUGUAAAUACAGGAUGCAGUGACUUAUGAGGACGUGCAUGUGAACUUCACUCAAGAGGAGUGGGCUUUGCUGGAUCCUUCCCAGAAGAAGAUCUACAAAGAUGUCAUGCUGGAGACCUACAGGAACCUUGAUGCUGUAGGAUUUAACUGGGAAGACCAAAAAUAUUGAAGAACAUUGCCUAAGAUCUAGAAGACGUAGAAGG